UAUAGUUUGUAUUGUUAAAUA
rnacentral:piRNA from 1 species